rnacentral:lncRNA from 1 species
GGACGAAGUGGAGGCUCACUUCCGGUGUCUUGUGUGAUAAGAAUGUACCGUUAAAACUUAAGCGUAAGUUCUAUAAGGUAGUGGUCAGACCGACUAUAUUGUAUGAGGCAGAUUGUUGGCCAGUCAAAAAGUCACAUGUCCAGCAUAUGAAAGUAGCAGAAAUGAGGAUGUUGAGAUGGAUGUGUGGGCAUAGUAGAUUGGAUAAAAUUAAGAAUAAAGUUAUUCGGGACAAGGCGGGAGUGGCCCUGUGGAGGCAAAGAUGCGUGAGGAAAGGUUGAGAUGGUUUGGGCAUAUUAAGAGGAGAAGCACAGAUGCCCCAGUCAGGAGAUGUGAGAGGUUGGCCUUAGGAGGUGAGAGAAGGGGUAGAGGUAGACCUAAGAAGUCUUAGGGUGAAGUGAUCAGGCGGGACAUGGCGUAGCUUGAGCUGACAGAAGACAUGACCCUAGAUAGAAGGGUGUGGAGAUGGAAGAUUAGGAUGGAAGGUUAGUAGGUAGUCGUGCGUUUCCCUUUGUCUUCCCUAGUUCGAAAAUAUUAGUGCUAGUAUGGUACCCUUUUUUCCUUAGUUUGCUAUAGCUGCGUGUCUUGUUCUGUUACUACUUAUCUUCAGUAAUUCCGCAGUUUUCUAGUAGGACUUCGUCAUAUUCUCAUGUGCUGCCUUGGACUUAUUUGUCUAAAUAUACUAUCUUGCCAUUACUUGUUAUCGGCACUCCUUCCAUAUUCUUUGUUGUUAUCUCUGAUUUAGUUUUCUAACUAUUUGCCUUGCUAUCAAUUGCUAUCAAGGCUUCAUUUACCUUCUUUAUCCGAGAGUCAUUCGGAAGCAGUCUCCCUACUCUGGAAGGGUAGGGGUAAGACUGCGUACAUCCUACACUUCCCAGAUCCCACUUGUAGGGAUUAUACUUGAUAGUUGUUGUUGUCAAAGUAGAUUAAUUGUUUUUUGACAAAAUAGGUUGUUUACAACUUAAAGUAACAAAUCGAUAUGCUUUUGAAGACACUAUAUUUGUACCUGUAUGUUUUACCUCACUCCACAUUCGUUUCAUCAAAUUAAUCAAUAUUAUGUUUACCUUCUCAUUACCCUUUCUUAAAUUAUUUUUACCAAGAAAUAUUCAAUAUGAUAAAAGAAAAAAACAAUAAUAUUUAUGCCAAUAUAAUUAAGCUACAAAUAUAAUAAAAAUACAAAACAAAAGGCUUAACAAAAUAGAGAUGUGUGUUUCUUAGACUGGACAAUCUUGUUUGUCAAAGAGAUCUUGUGAUUACAACUCUACUUGACGGCAUAAACCCCUUCACCAAACCUUACUAAAUACUAACAUAAAAUCUAUUCAUCAUAAGAUUUAUUCAAAGUGCUUAUUGCCAAACUAUAGUGUUACGAUCAGAAUAAAGUGAGGAUUAAUACACAGUCACGUGAGAGGCACGUGAGCAGCAGUUAGUUAGUUUCCGAAAAUUAGUUACAGUUAGUUAGUUGUUGUUAGUUUGUUACAAGUUAGUUACAGCUGGAUUUUCUUCAUAUAAGCUGAAUUCACAGCUAUUGUAAGCCCCAUUCAUUUUGUAAUUAAAUCUGAAAGAAAUAUCUCUCUUCUCUCUCUAAAUUCUCGGAAUAUCCUCUUCUAUAAGUCAUCUGUUCAAGAGUAAUUCUCCUUAUUUGCUCUUUAGGAUAAUUAGAUUUUCCUGUAAGUUCCUGAGUUGAUAUCAUUGGUAUCAGAGCAGACAUUUUCCUUGGAUCUGUAAAUCGAAAAUGGGGGAACAUAACACCAGAAUUCAGGAACUACGUCGAUAUUUGGAUGGUUUUCGAGGAUCAUUCGAAGGGAUCAUUGGAUUAGUGGAAAAAUUGCGUAGAACUAUGGAUGAAAAGCUCACCCACUCGAUGGAAGAAUUUAAGAAGAUUCUGCUGACGAAUGGGGAAAAUGCACGAACUAUUAUUAAAGAAGAAACAACAACACCAGUAGAAAAGGGUCAACGAAGGGAGGAAUAUGAACUGCCCACCAGAAGCCAUCAGUUGGAAUUCCCUAAAUUUGAUGGAACUAGGCUUCGUAAUUGGCUGUAUCAGUGUGAACAAUUCUUUGAAGUUGAUCAGACUCCUGAAGCUUCGAAGGUGAAAUUGGCUUCUUGUCGAUUGGCUGGAAAGGCUCUUCAAUGGCACCAGGUGUACAUAAAGACUCGAUUGUUUAGGGAUUGGCCUAAUUUGGGGGGAGGAGUAUGUGAGGUGCUUAUAUGCAAGGUUUGGAUCAGAAUUUUUCGAUGAUCCAAUGGGGGAUUUGUAGGACCUUAAAUAGGUAACUUAUGUGCAAGAUUAUGUGGAUUUAUUUGAUGAACUAUUAACUAGAGUUGAGUUAAAUGAAGAGUAUGUUCUUAGUUUCUUCCUUAGAGGUCUUAAACCUGAAAUUGGGCUGCCUGUCAAAAUGUUUGCACCUAGAUCCUUGCAGAAAGCCAUUAGUUUUGCUAGAAUCCAAGAGCAGACCUUAUUCAUACAAAAGCAAACUCUCAAAAAUACCCCAGUUCUUUCGACACCUAGACCAAUUCAUAAACCAAUUGCCAAUCCUAAUUACCCACAGAACACACACUCUAACUACUCUAAACAAAUUUUUCCUUACCAAAGAAACCAAGGCUCCUACUUAGGAACAACCAAACCAUCCUACAGAAACCCAAGGCUUCUAACUCCUACUGAAAUAGAGGAAAAGAGGGCUAAUGUAUUAUGAUUCAAUUGUGAUGAAAAGUAUGUUCCAGGUCAUGUAUGUUCAAAGAGAAGGCAGUUAUUUUCUAUUGAGUUGAUAGAACCUGAGGAGGAAGGAAAUGGUGAAGAAGAUAUCUUGUUUGAUCUUUCUGAGCUACUGAACAUGGAAGGAUUUGCAUAUGAUGUUGACUCUGAUGGGGCUAUCCUACCUCAUGUUUCUGUACAUGCUAUGAUUGGUACUGAAGAUUUCAGAACCAUGUUCAAAACCAUGAGGGUGACUGGAUCAGUCAAG